UUUCAGAAUCAAAUGUGGACGAUGGGAAGCCCCAAGUUGCAGAAGAGACAUCUUCACCAGCAGUUGAAGACAUUCCUUCUACCCAUCCCA